AGAGGGGAAAGCAGAGGAGGGGGAGGAGGAGGAGCAGGAGGAGGAGGCAUCAUGGCCUGAAGCUGUUGAGAUGAACAACGAACAGUCUGAAAACAAAUCAUCGGACACAGAGAUAACCGAGCACACCGACACACCAGGAGACUCUUCUGAAGCGACAGCAGUGGGCCAGCUGGAUGGCUCCGCCCCCUUCACCACAGACGUCCCCAGUUAGACGCUGGACCUCUCGUGGUAAAGCAGAGUGGCGCCGCCUCAGCCUGGAGGGACGGAGUUGCCAGGACAACAAAGCGUGGAAGUGUGUAGUGUGACCUUCAGCCCGGAGUUCGUGCCUGAUCGGCGGCCGUGUUUCCUGCCGUCCAUCUCUUCGUCCUCGCCGGCUGUGUGCUCGUCAAGACUGAUUUCACCUCAUUAAUCAACAAUCCAGAAACACUGUUCAUGCAAAGAGUGCUAAUAAAAUCUGAAGAAAG